CCUGAUUAUUCAAUAAUUCCAGUAAUUCAGAUUGGCUCUCGACUGUUAUUAUGCUUUUGCGAACUACUCUGGUCAUUUUUCAAAAAAGUGCUGCUCGAAACUCCGAACCCGUCGGCCGUUUAUACUUAUAGUUUGCCACGGGAUAAAUCGUUGGCCACUUUGCUCUGGGACAGCUCUCUUGUGUUGACCUUAAUAAUCCAGGGCAUUUGACGUUAAACCACAACGGCACAACGGUGGUCCCGAAGUUAUAAUUAAACCGGAACCUAGCAUUUUUUCAUAGCAGCACUUUCUAAAGAGUUAUUUCUCUUGGAAACUCACUGCCAUCAGUCAGAUUAGUAUGCAACCAGGAAAUUGUCAACGUCACCCGGAAGCAGCAGAUGAUUGUAUGUUCCAUCAAACGCAACAUGGGGUUAAAAAGAUGUGGCACUGUAGACAGCCUCCAGUUCCUAAUUCAUUAGACGAUUUAGUAGAAAUGUUAGAUGACAAAUAGGUAUUGCCAAACCAUUCGAAGACGUCCAUCUAGUGGUGUCCUCAAGUUCAUGAAACACAAAUUUUCCAAAGUAAGUGGCCUCGUUUCGUGUAUUUUACAUUAAUUCCCAAUGGUGUAUGCUUUCCUAGUAUUAAUUUACCAAAAAAGUUAUGAGGCACUUUUGAACAUUGUACGUAAUAUUCAGCCAUUGAAGUACUAACAGCUGUCUAUAAGAUGCCAUUGAUGAAUUGUGUAUUCGAUGUGAUGCCCAAGACCAUGUGAGUAAAUUAAUGAGUUCUUGGUUUUAAGUCUGCCAGAACUACAACAUGGUGUUUUUGUCACAUUUAAAAUACAAUACAGAAUUGUAUCAUUCUCAAUGGUGUAUGCGUUCCUGAUAUUAAUUUACCAAAGAAAGUUACUAGGCACUUUUGAACAUUGAAGUACUAACAGCUGUGUAUAUUAAGAUGAAUUAUGUUCUCGAUGUGAUGGCCGAGACCCUGAGAGCAAAUUAAUGAAUUCUUGUUUUAUUAUUGUCAGAUAGUCAUACGCUAUUGUACUUGGAAAAUUAAUAGCAUAUUAUAUCACCUGCUUCAAGGUAGCCCUGUUGCAGCUAGAGUUUGGAUAAUGAUAUAUAGAGCGAUACUGUCAUAAGUUGGACCUACGAUUUUAAGUGUUUUUGGGUGUGAAUAUGGGACCAAUAAUAUUACCUGGAAAUUUUUCAUUCUGCUUAACUGACUCUAAUAUCAAAACAUCAAGCAUGGGAUUUUAUAUUUCACAGAUUAGAGAAUAUACUACUUCAAGAAAUGAGAAAUUUUUAAAAACGACAAUUAUUCAUCAACUCAUUCAUACAUUACAUGUUCAUGGGGACUUAGUAAAGGUCCUCAAGAGGGUAGGCCAUCAAAAUGAUGGAUAUGUUCAAGAUUAUAUUGGUCCA
rnacentral:lncRNA from 1 species